CAUAUGAAGGUUCCUAGGCCAGGGAUCAAAUUGGAGCUGUAGCCGCCGGUUCAUUCCAGAACCAUAGCAACACCAGGUCCGAGCCCCAUCUGUGACCUACACCACAGCUCACAAGAACAGAUCCUUAAUCCAUUGAGGGAGGCCAGGGAUUGAACCCACCUCCUCAUGGAUGCUAGUUGGGUUUGUUAACUGCUGAGCCAUAAUGGGAACUCUUUCAGCAGUUCUUUACUAUAAAAAAUCAUGUUUGGGGUGGGUGAGGAAUGGAAGUAUAUGACAUACUUCUCAGGUAUAAAAUUAUACUCUAACUUCAUUUUUUGCCCUGUUGGUGAUGAAAAUAAGUUAUGGUCAAUAAUACUUUCAUACUCUCAUCUGAGCAGAAUCUGUAAAAGAUACUGCUGUAUUUUAUAGUAAAGCAAAUUCCAGUGAAUAAGAAGUAUUUUAUGUUCUAUUUGUUCAAAUGUGAACAAUUUAUCAAGAAGAAAUAAAGACCUUAUCAUUAAUUAGUAACACAUUAUUUUAAGUUAUCUCUUUCUUUUUUCUUUUGUCUUUUUAGGGCCACACCUGCAACAUGUGGAAGCUCCAGGCCAGGGGUUGAAUUGGAGCUUCAGCUGCCAGCCCAUCACCAUAGCCACAACAAUGCAGGAUCCAAGCUGUGUCUGUGACCUAUAUCACAGUUCACGGCAACGCGAUCGUUAACCCACUGAGUGAAGUCGGGGAUUGAACCUGCGUCUUCAUGGAUACUAGUUGGAUUCAUUACCGCUGAGCCGCAAUGGGAACUCCCUAAGUUAUCUCUUUCUAUAGGUGCAAAUAAAGCAUUAAUAUAUGGAGAGUGUAAGAGGUAUUUUUCAUUCUGUAAAUGUAAUUUGAUCAAAUAUAUUCCAGAAUUAUAAAGCAGCCUAUUCUUUAUACACUGCUCUCCGAGUAGAAUUUUCUGUGGAGAAAGUACUCUCUACUCACACUGUCUAAUAAAGUAGCCAUUAGACACAAACGACUAUUGAGAACUUAAAAUAGAACUAGUAAAACUGAGGAACUCAAUAAUUAUUGUAUUUCAGUUAAUUUUAAUUUUGCAUGGUUGCGGACUAUUAGCUACUAUUAGACAGUAUAGACUUGAGGACUUGGAGGAUGAAGGACAGUGUCCAGUCUGGUAUGACAAUUUUUUUUUUUUUUUGGCUUUUUAAGGCUGCACCCAGGGCGUAUGGAAGUUCCCAGGCUAGUGGUUGAAUAGGAGCUGUAGCUGCCAGUCUACACCAUAGCCACAGCAAGGACAGAUCUGGGCUGUGUCUGCAAACUAAUACCACAGCUCACAGCAAUGCUGGAUCCCUAACCCACUGAGCAAGACCACGGAUCAAACCCACAUUCUCAUGGUUACUAUUUGGGUUGUUACCACGGAGCCACAAUGGGAAAUCCCUGGUAUGAUUAUUAAUACCCUGGUUACAGUUAUUGUUUUUCACUUCUUCUGACAAUGCAAAUCAUACUCUUCUUACCAUGGAGCCUCCGCAUGUGUACGUCUUUUUUCAUGUGCCUCUGUGGAUUUCCCCUUUGAUGACUCCUUUCAUCCUUCAUAUUUAAGCUCAAAUACCACGUCAUGAGAUAGACCUUUCAUAAUAUAUCAAUCACUAACUUAAUGUACUCUCCACUACUACAACUAAUUACUCUGUUUCUCUACCCUGGUAUACAGUUUAUGUCUCCCAUAUAAUUUAUUAUAAACCCUAAUGUGUUGUGUACUACUUUACCUUUCUCACCUGUAUCUCAUCCAAUAGAACAUAAGAUUCAGUAGGGCACAGAUCAUGGCGAUCUAGGCAUCAUUCUCUCUAGUGCCUACUGUAGCCAUUAGACACAUACGGCAAAUCUGCUGAUAUUACGUUGUGUGAAGAUGCUCAGUCAGUGUAUUUGAAUAAAUAGAAUGACAGUUAUAGGAAUUUGAAGUCUAGUGCCUACCGUAAUUCCUAUUACUUUGCCUGUUGAAUGAACACAGAUUAUUUCCUAAUUUAUUUUGUCAAACUAUUUUCUCCCUUCCUUUCAACAUUUAAGAUAUUAUCUUAAUAAAAUGUCUUAUAGUUUUCACUCAGAAUUUUGUUGCAAAAAAUUAAAACUACUUGAAAGGUAUCUCUAAUGUAAUACAUUCUGUUUACAGAGCCUUCCUCCACUAUGACAGCCAAAUUCUUCCUCCCACACUCUUAAUCCCAUUACUGUUUGGCUUUGCCUCUCACUGUUCUGCCAAAUUGUUCUAUCAACAUUUUAAUCAAAUUCCAAACCAAGGUGGAUUUAUGGUGAACCUUAUUAUGCUUAAGGCCUGGGGCCUCUCUCUUUCAUGGCCACUCCUGUCUCUCUAAUUUGGAGGGCCCUAAUUUAAGUUUUUCAGUAAAAUCUGCAAAAUUGAAGGAUUUUUACACCAAAUAGUUAAUACCACUCCUUCUGCCACUUCAGUAUUUCUUUUCCAUCUCUCCUUGAGUUAGAGGACAAUGGUUGGGCAUUUGGGGAAUCCAGCCAAGGGCAAGUUGAUUUGGAGACAUUGAAUUUUGGCUUUUUAGAAUAGAUUCAUAUUGUUUAUAAUAAUUCUGUAUGUAUUUGUUAUUUCUGGCUAAAGUGCUAUAGGAAUAUCUUCUAGGAAUACUCUCCACUCAUUGUGCAAAUUCACCUGAAAUUGUGUCAUGAAGGUGCAGUUGAGUAGAGCCUAAGCAUCCGGUAUGUGGAUGUAGGCAGCAUAGGAGUAACAAAUCUUGAAAAUAUAGUAUCAGAUGCUCAAUUGUGCAAAUGUAUCCAGUCAUCAGAUGUGUAGAAUCACAAGCAAUGUUUUAGUUCUUAUAGAUGUCUAGUCAGAAUGAAUGUUCUUAUCUGUAAGGAAUAUACUUGAUGAUGUAGUGCAAAUAAGUAUAUAUGCACUUUAUUUUCUUUUUCCUAUGUGAAUUGUGAAAAACAAUUUAUCAAAAUCACAUAUUCAUAGUGUCAUAAUAUAAGCAGUAAAUACAUCUGUAUUUGAGAUGAAAUUUUAAUGAAUCUCCACAUGUUGGAUUUAAUCUUACUAUAUCUGACACCUCAUAUCUUGAAGAGUAUGGUGGUGCUAUUAUUUAUAGCUCUUUUUACUAAAUAUGACUAAAUAAAUAGGAAAUCCAGGGAUAAAACCUCAAAUAUUUAUUAAUACUCAAUGUAUAUUACAUACUAAUUUAUUUGAACAUUAGGUUACUUGAUAGACUAUAGUGCCAAUUCAUUUAAUUUGAAUUGUUUUUUGCCUUAAUUUCAAAUUAAUAUUAAGAAUUAUUGGUUCUGAACAAAUUCACAUAAAAAGGAAAUAUGUUAAAUGAUAGCAAGAAGAUUGCUACAAAGUUUAAUACACAAACUCAUUAUAUUUUCACAGGAACCUACAAAUUUUAUUGUCCAAAUUCAUGAAAGGAACUUUUCCAAAUGAUAUUAAAAAUUAAAAACAACCAAUUAGAGAAAAGACUACUGUUUUUACUCCUCUUCAGAAAUAAUACUGUGAAAUCCUAGUCAUACAAAUACAUUAGCAAAGAGCAUGCAGCCAAACAUUUACAGAAAAAAAUAGAUUUGUCAGGCAUUUACUUAAUAAAAUUACUAUAUUAUUUUUCUCUGAAUUUAUAUUUGUGGUAUGUGCCACUUCUCUAAAAAAAAAACCCUCUAAUAUGAUAUAAACUCUUUUGUCACUCUAAAUAAUACAUAAUAUUGUACCUAAUUUUAAAUGUAAUGAUUCAUAUUAUUAAAUAAUAUGAACUUUAAAUACACCAAGCCUGGAAGGGACUCUGGUUCCAGGCAGCUGUGGCCACUGAUCAAUUUUCAGUCCUCACAACAGCAUUUGUAUUGUUGAUCACCCCUUUCUCCUGGAUACACUUUUUCCUCUGGCUCAACCACAACACUCAUGCUUCCUUCCUAUCAUCCUCUCAAUACUUUUCUUAUACCUGCUUUCUUUGAGAUUUAAUAUUUCAUCUCAGGGCUAGAUCAGUACUGACAAAAUGCAACACAGUUGGUAUUUUGAAACAUCCAAAAUUUCACUUCCACCCUGAGUUCUCAACUCGACUUCUAUAAAUAACCUCAUGCUCAAUCUUUUUGUGUGAGUAGCUACUGAGCAUCACAAACUUAAUUUAUCCCAGCUGAACUGCUGAACCUUUCUUCAAAACCCACUCCUUCUGCUGACAUUUCAGUUACUAGCAACUCCUCACUGGCCAUAUCUUGCCUUGUAUCUUUCCAUUGACCUUGAUUUGUUACAGUAUCUCAAACAUAUUAGGUGUUCUUCUGUCCCAGAACACUGGUAUUUUCAUACUCUGUGUUUGGAAUACUCUUCCCUCAAAUUUACAGAUUAUUUAAUAACUUGCAAAUCCUGGUCUUCAUUUCAAGUGGCACUUUCUCAAUGGAGCCUCCCCCGACUCCACUGAACUUCCUGUCCUAACAGUAGUUAAUCCUUUUUGUGUUUUAUUUUCCUCAUUGAAUAUAUUAUGUGUUCAUUUAUUGAUUUUGUUAUACCUUGUUUAUGUAUUUCUUUUUUACACUUAUCUCUUCCCAUUAGAAUGAAGGUAGGAAUGGUUUUUCUUUGAUUAUUUUGUAAACUACUGACUUUUCAAUUUGUAAAGUCAUACCUUGCAUAUAAAACUCUUUAAAUAUUUUUUGACUAGAUAGUAGAUAAAUUAAAAGUAUUGUUUAUUUAUAUACUCCCCCAAAGUUAUUUUUCAUUGUGUACCCUUAUUUUAAAGACAUGUCUCAAUUUUGAAAAGAUAAAAAGCCAUUUAAAACUUCUAUAAUGAAGGAAUUGCUGGAAAUAAUAAAUAUUCCAUUUAAUUACAUGAUAAUAGAUUUACAAGGAGAUCCUGCUGAAUAGCAUUGAGAACUAUGUCUAGAUACUCAUGUUGCAACAGAAGAAAGGGUGGGGGAAAAACUGUAAUUGCAAUGUAUACAUGUAAGGAUAACCUGACCCCCUUGCUGUACAGUG
rnacentral:lncRNA from 1 species